GAGAGCCUGCGACAGGUGCGUGCGAUGGCUGUCGUCAGCUCGUGUCGUGAGAUGUUGGUUAAGUCCCGCAACGAGCGCAACCCCUAUUGCCAGUUGCUAACAGGAGAGCUGAGCACUCUGGCGAGACUGCCGCCGACAAGGCGGAGGAAGGUGGGGAUGACGUCAAGUCAUCAUGGCCUUUAUGCCCAGGGCUACACACGUGCUACAAUGGCCGGCACAGACGGCAGCUUAGUGGCGACACUUGGCAAAUCCUCUAAAGCCGGUCCCAGUUCGGAUUGCAGUCUGCAACUCGACUGCAUGAAGCCGGAAUCGCUAGUAAUCGCAGAUCAGCCAAGCUGCGGUGAAUACGUUCCCGGGCCUU
rnacentral:rRNA from 1 species